CACACGAGUUUGAUCAUGGCUCAGAUUGAACGCUGGCGGCAUGCCUUACACAUGCAAGUCGAACGGUAACAGGUCUUCGGAUGCUGACGAGUGGCGAACGGGUGAGUAAUACAUCGGAACGUGCCCAGACGUGGGGGAUAACGAGGCGAAAGCUUUGCUAAUACCGCAUACGAUCUAAGGAUGAAAGCAGGGGACCGCAAGGCCUUGCGCGUUUGGAGCGGCCGAUGGCAGAUUAGGUAGUUGGUGGGAUAAAAGCUUACCAAGCCGACGAUCUGUAGCUGGUCUGAGAGGACGACCAGCCACACUGGGACUGAGACACGGCCCAGACUCCUACGGGAGGCAGCAGUGGGGAAUAUUGGACAAUGGGCGAAAGCCUGAUCCAGCAAUGCCGCGUGAGUGAUGAAGGCCUUAGGGUUGUAAAGCUCUUUUACCAGGGAUGAUAAUGACAGUACCUGGAGAAUAAGCUCCGGCUAACUCCGUG
rnacentral:rRNA from 1 species